AGGAGCAGACUGCGUCCUACUAGCUUGUUGGUGGGGUAAUGGCCUACCAAGGCUUCGAUGGGUAGCGGGCGUGAGAGCGUGGCCCGCCACACUGGGACUGAGACACUGCCCAGACACCUACGGGUGGCUGCAGUCGAGAAUCUUCGGCAAUGGACGAAAGUCUGACCGAGCGAUGCCGCGUGCGGGAUGAAGGCCCUCGGGUUGUAAACCGCGAAAGAUGGGAGGAAAGCCCUGUGAAUAGCAGGGCCUGACCGAUCAUCAGUAAGGACGGGCUAAGUUCGUGCCAGCAGCCGCGGUAACACGAACCGUCCAAACGUUAUUCGGAAUCAUUGGGCUUAAAGGGUGCGUAGGCGGCGUGUUAAGUCGGGUGUGAAAUCCCACAGCUCAACUGUGGAACUGCGCCCGAUACUGGCAUGCUUGAGGGAGACAGGGGUAAGCGGAACUGAUGGUGGAGCGGUGAAAUGCGUUGAUAUCAUCAGGAACACCGGUGGCGAAAGCGGCUUACUGGGUCUCUUCUGACGCUGAGGCACGAAAGCUAGGGUAGCGAACGGGAUUAGAUACCCCGGUAGUCCUAGCUGUAAACGAUGAGCACUUGGUUGGGGGCCCCCCCAUAGGCUCUUGGCCGUAGCGAAAGUG
rnacentral:rRNA from 1 species